rnacentral:sRNA from 1 species
AACCCGGUAGGCAAGGCUACCGCGGGGAUAUGGGUUGCUGCCGCGAAACAGUGGAGACACUGUGAGAUGGUUUGAGCAAGUGAUAUCGAAGCACAAGGUAUCAUUUAACGCAACUUCACCGCCCCGUGAUGCUGAAGCUCGUACGGUG